rnacentral:rRNA from 1 species
UACAGAGGUCCCAAGCGUUGUUCGGAUUCACUGGGCGUAAAGGGUGCGUAGGUGGCCGGGUAAGUUUGAUGUGAAAUCUCCGGGCUUAACCCGGAAACUGCAUUGAAUACUAUCCUGCUCGAGGUUUGGAGGGGGGACUGGAAUUCUCGGUGUAGCAGUGAAAUGCGUAGAUAUCGAGAGGAACACCAGUGGCGAAGGCGAGUCCCUGGACAACACCUGACGCUGAGGCACGAAAGCGAGGGGAGCAAACAAG